rnacentral:rRNA from 1 species
AUACGGAGGGUGCAAGCGUUGUUCGGAAUCACUGGGCAUAAAGAGCACGUAGGCGGUCUACUAAGUCAGAUGUGAAGUCCCUCGGCUCAACCGGGGAACUGCAUUUGAUACUGGUAGACUAGAGGACGCUAGGGGUGAGUGGAACUCCAGGUGGAGCGGUGAAAUGCGUAGAUAUCAGGAGGAAUACCAGUGGCGAAGGCGGCUUUCUGGACCAAUACUGACGCUGAGGUGCGAAAGCGUGGGGAGCAAACAGAAUUAGAAACCCCAGUAGUCC